rnacentral:siRNA from 1 species
AAAGGUGGUUGUUGUGUCCUC